ACGCACGCUGGCGGCGUGCUUAACACAUGCAAGUCGAACGGAAAGGCCCUGCUUUUGUGGGGUGCUCGAGUGGCGAACGGGUGAGUAACAUGUGAGUAACCUGCCCUUGACUUUGGGAUAACUUCAGGAAACUGGGGCUAAUACCGGAUAGGAGCUCCUGCUGCAUGGUGGGGGUUGGAAAGUUUCGGCGGUUGGGGAUGGACUCGCGGCUUAUCAGCUUGUUGGUGGGGUAGUGGCUUACCAAGGCUUUGACGGGUAGCCGGCCUGAGAGGGUGACCGGCCACAUUGGGACUGAGAUACGGCCCAGACUCCUACGGGAGGCAGCAGUGGGGAAUAUUGCACAAUGGGCGGAAGCCUGAUGCAGCAACUCCGCGUGCUGGAUGACGGCCUUCGGGUUGGAAACCGCUUUCGCCUGUGACGAAGCGUGAGUGACGGUAAUGGGUAAAGAAGCACCGGCUAACUACGUG
rnacentral:rRNA from 1 species